AAAAAAAAUUGUGGCGGGGCGGAGCUUCCUGUGCAGCAAGGGCGGAGCUAAAAGUGCAGGAUAACUGCUGCAGGAUUGCCUGCUUUCCCCAACAAACAGUCUCCAGGAACUGCACUGCCUGUCUGCCUCCACAAUGAAUAGAGGUAACUGUGUGUGAUUGUCUGUGUGAGUGUGACUGUCUGUGUGUGUAUGACUGCCUGCCUGUGUUUGUGUGUGACUGUCUUUGUGUGUCU